rnacentral:hammerhead_ribozyme from 1 species
AGCCGAAACGCUCCUUACUGGGGCGUCGGGCGCGAAUGGCCUUGCGCCCCUGAUGAUGGCAGGCCAGA